AGUAAAAGUCGUAACAAGGUCUCCGUUGGUGAACCAGCGGAGGGAUCAUUACAGAGUUGCAAAACUCCCACAAACCGUCGCGAAUCUUACCCGUACGGUUGCCUCGGCGCUGGCGGUCCGGAAAGGCCCUCGGGCCCUCCCGGAUCCUCGGGUCUCCCGCUCGCGGGAGGCUGCCCGCCGGAGUGCCGAAACUAAACUCUUGAUAUUUUAUGUCUCUCUGAGUAAACUUUUAAAUAAGUCAAAACUUUCAACAACGGAUCUCUUGGUUCUGGCAUCGAUGAAGAACGCAGCGAAAUGCGAUAAGUAAUGUGAAUUGCAGAAUUCAGUGAAUCAUCGAAUCUUUGAACGCACAUUGCGCCUCCUGGUAUUCCGGGAGGCACGCCUGUUCGAGCGCCAUUACACACCCCAAGCACGGCUUGAUGUUGGGCGAUCGCUGCGAAGCGACGCCUCGAACGCAUGGGCGCCUGCCGCCGACCAUGAGCGUAGCGAGAUUUCAUUAUCAUCGUUUGUGGUUCGGUCGGUGGGCUGCCUUGUCCUCUGCGAUCUCACGAUCAAAGAAUUCAACGUUUGGCCUCGGAUCAGGCGGGGAUACCCGCUGAACUUAAGCAUAUCAAUAAGCGGAGGA
rnacentral:rRNA from 1 species